GACGAACGCUGGCGGCGUGCUUAACACAUGCAAGUCGAACGGAAAGGCCCUGCUUUUGUGGGGUGCUCGAUUGGCGAACGGGUGAGUAACACGUGAGUAACCUGCCCUUGACUGUGUGAUAACUUCAGGGAACUGGGGCUAAUACCGGAUAUGAGCUCCUGCUGCAUGGUGGGGGUUGGAAAGUUUCGGCGGUUGUGGAUGGACUCGCGGGUUAUCAGCUUGUUGGUGGGGUAGUGGCUUACCAAGGCUUUGACGGGUAGCCGGCAUGAGAGGGUGACCGGCCACAUUGGGACUGAGAGACGGAGCAGAAGCCUAUGGGAGGCAGUAGUGGGGAACAUUGCAGAAUGGGCGGGAGCCUGAUGCAGAAACGCCGCGUGCGGGAUGACGGCUUUCGGGGUGUAAACAGCUUUGGCAUGUGACGAAGAGGGCGUGACGGUAAUGGGUCAAGAAGCACCGGCUAACUACGUG
rnacentral:rRNA from 1 species